rnacentral:lncRNA from 1 species
UUUUAAAGUGGUUAUUUUUGGUGAGUUGGUUUAAAUUGAUUAAGUGUAGGGUCUUUAAAGGUAUUUUUUCGUUUUAAAUGUGUUUAUGGUUUGUGAGUUAGGAGAUUGAAAAUGGUUAUGUGUUGGGACUUUAAAGACGCUUUUUUGUUUUGAAAGUAGUUAUGUUUGGUGACUUGGUUGUAAGAAAAUGAUUAAGUGUCGGGAGUUUAAAGGUAUUUUUUGUUUUGAAAGUGGUAAUGUUUGAUGACGUGGUAGGUUGAAAAUUGUUAAGUGUAGGGACUUUAAAGGUGCUUUUUUGUUUUGAAAGUUCUUAUGUUUGGUGACUUGGUAGGUCAAAAAUGGUUAAAUGUUGGGACUUUAAAGGUGCCUUUUUUUUUUUAAUUGAAAGUGCUUAUAUUUGGUGACUUGGUAGGUUGAAAAUGGUUAAAUCUAGGGACUUUAAAGGUGUUUUUUUUAAAGUUGUUAUGUUUGGUGACUUGGUAGGUUGAAAAUGGUUAAAUCUAGGGACUUUAAAGGUGUUUUUUUUAAAGUUGUUAUGUUUGGUGACUUGGUAGGUUGAAAAUGGUUAAGUAUAGGGACUUUAUACGUGCUUUUUUAUUUUGGAAGUGGUUAUGAUUGG